rnacentral:tRNA from 1 species
AUUUAGAUAGCUUAUAUAAUAGAGUAUAGUAUUGAAGAUACUAGGGAAAUAUAUUUAUUUUUAAAUA